rnacentral:rRNA from 1 species
CCUACGGGGGGCAGCAGUAGGGAAUCUUCCACAAUGGACGAAAGUCUGAUGGAGCAGCGCCGCGUGAGUGAAGAAGGGUUUCGGCUCGUAAAGCUCUGUUGGUAGUGAAGAAAGAUAGAGGUAGUAACUGGCCUUUAUUUGACGGUAAUUACUUAGAAAGUCACGGCUAACUACGUGCCAGCAGCCGCGGUAAUACGUAGGUGGCAAGCGUUGUCCGGAUUUAUUGGGCGUAAAGCGAGUGUAGGCGGGUCCGUAAGUC